UACGGAGGGAGCAAGCGUUACUCGGAAUUAUUGGGCGUAAAGGGCGCGUAGGCGAUCCGACAAGUCUGGUGUGAAAGCCCACAUGUUAACUGUGGAAGUGCAUUAGAAACUGUUGGAUUUGAGUUCAGGAGAGGAAAGCAGAAUUCCCGGUGUAGCGGUGAAAUGCGCAGAUAUCGGGAGGAACACCUAUGGCGAAGGCAGCUCGCUGGGACGUUACUGACGCUGAGACGCGAAAGCGUGGGGAGCAAACAGG
rnacentral:rRNA from 1 species